ACAAGAUUUUGAUUGUAGCAGUUGUGCUUGAUCCUCGUUAUAAGUUGGAGUUUGUUGUACAUUGUAUUGGUAUCUUGUAUGACUCUGUUAAGGUUGAAGCCACAAAAACUGAGGUCAUGAAAAUAUUGUAUGCUUUGUAUAACCAGUACAAGGGAUGUCAUUGUUCAAAGAAUGGAGCUAGUGGAAGUGGAAGUGGUGGCAAUGAAUAUAAUGAUGGAGUCACUUUGUUGGAGGGUUCAGAUAAUGAUGAUGAUUGGGAUGAUUGUAAUUUUGAUUUUGGGUACAAGAAAAUGAAAACUAGCAAAAUGGAUUUUUCUGGAAAAGAUGAGGUACAACGAUAUCUAAUGGAACCUACUGAAGAUGCUACUGAUGAAAACUUUAACAUUUUAAAAUGGUGGAAGAUCAACAGUUCAAGGUUUGAAUUUUUAUCUAAAGUUGCAAGGGAUGUUCUUGCAUUCCUGUAUCUACGGUGACUUCUGAGUCAGCAUUUAGUACUGGAGGGCGCAUUCUUGACCCAUUUAGGAGUUCUUUAACUCCUAAAACAGUUGAGGCCUUGAUUUGUACACAAAACUGGCUAAUGGAAGAAUCUAGACUUUUGAGAGUUUCCGAAGAUAGAAUUUGCAUUGAAGAGACAGAGUUCUAUGAGAGCAUUAAGACAGAGUUUCUUCGUAUGGCAACUCAAGAAAUUGAUGAUUAAUCAAAUAGUUGACUUGAUUUUGAAGGCUUGAAGGUUGAAGCAAGGGAAUUAUUGAUAUGAAUUGUCGAUAUUUUAAUACUAGUAUUUACUUUUUGAUAUAUGUAUACAUUGGUAAAUUAAUGUCACUGGACAACAUGUUACUUAUAUGUUUUUAAUGGGACUUUGUUAAUUUGUAAAAGCUAUGACUCAACAUAUUAUUAGUUGUAUUUAUGUUGUGUU